AGAAUUCACAGUGGAGAGAAACCCCAAACAAGAAGGUAAAUACUGUGGCCAAAUCUUUACUCAAAUUUCAAAUUUUCUUUAUCUUUAGAAACCUAGUACCUAUAGAAAAUGUGGAAAGACAUUUGCCUGACAUAUAUGCCUUAAAUAACAGCAAAAUAUCUAUCAUGAAGAAAACACCAUGAGAAAUAUAAAAAAUAUAGCAAAGCCUUUGUCUUUACCUCCUAUCUAGAUAGAUGUGUGUGUGAGAGGAAAAUGAGGAAUUGCCUUUAACUUUUGCUUAAAAUUUGUUAUACAUCCUUAGCUAAUGUAGGAAAAUAAAGAAAUUCUCACAAAUAUCAUAGAAUAGUGCAGAAAACUUGUCUCUGUAAGGAUACAAAUUCAUUAUAAACCAAAGAUUUUUCAAUAUUUUAACUUUUCAAAACUGGAGGAAAUAAUUCUUAGAUUCUUUUAUCGGAAGACUUGUUCCUGAGAGCUGUUAUUUUUG
rnacentral:lncRNA from 1 species